UACGUAGGGGGCAAGCGUUGUCCGGAAUCAUUGGGCGUAAAGCGCGCGUAGGCGGCCCGAUAAGUCCGCUGUAAAAGUCAAAAGGCUCAACCUUUGAAAGCCGGUGGAUACUGUCGGGCUAGAGUCCGGAAGAGGCGAGUGGAAUUCCUGGUGUAGCGGUGAAAUGCGCAGAUAUCAGGAGGAACACCGAUGGCGAAGGCAGCUCGCUGGGGACGUGACUGACGCUGAAGACGCGAAAAGCGUGGGGGAGCAAAACAGG
rnacentral:rRNA from 1 species